rnacentral:rRNA from 1 species
AAGGGACCUUACCUGGUCUUGACAUCCACAGAAGUUUUCAGAGAUGCGAAGGUGCCUUCGGGAACUGUGAGACAGGUGCUGCAUGGCUGUCGUCAGCUCGUGUUGUGAAAUGUUGGGUUAAGUCCCGCAACGAGCGCAACCCUUAUCCUUUGUUGCCAGCGGUUAGGCCGGGAACUCAAAGGAGACUGCCAGUGAUAAACUGGAGGAAGGUGGGGAUGACGUCAAGUCAUCAUGGCCCUUACGACCAGGGCUACACACGUGCUACAAUGGCAUAUACAAAGAGAAGCGACCUCGCGAGAGCAAGCGGACCUCAUAAAGUAUGUCGUAGUCCGGAUUGGAGUCUGCAACUCGACUCCAUGAAGUCGGAAUCGCUAGUAAUCGUGGAUACAAAU